CAGAGCCUGCCUGCUGUUCUGUACCUUAUUGACUCUGCCUGGAUAAGGGACCUCUGCCUGCCUUUGACCUGUCUUUUGCCUGGCCCCUGUUUGACUCAAUAAACAUCUGUUACUCUAGUUGUCUCCAUCUGGGUCUUAUCCUGAGAAGUCAACUUCCUCUCUGUUUACUUCCAUUUCCAUUCUCUUUACCUACAAGUUUGCAUUAUUUCCAUUAAAUCUAAAUCCCUAGCUACUCACUGGAUCCCAGAGUGUUGUGCUUUAUCUCCUAAUCAAGUGUUCCCUGUGUGUUUCCAGCGAGCCACCCUGGUAUCCUCCUCCUGCUGUCUGGCGAUGGUGGAAAUUAUAUUCUUGGGCACAGGCCCGGGCGAGGGAUCAAUACCGGCAGCCAGUGAAUCUUCUCAGUUGGUUUGUUUGGAGAGGCUUCGCUGGUUUGAGGUUUAUUGGCAGUACCCUCCAAUAAGGUGACUGUCUUUAAAUGAAAUAAUUUGUAUUUCUAAAAUAUCUAUUUAUGUAAAUGUGGUGGUUAACUGUUCUUUCUUUCCUACCAUCUAUCACGUUUCAGGUAUGACCCAGAUGCAAACAGUGUCGAAGAAACAAACGUUUAUUUCUAAAAUAGGGACGUCCGCAAACGCAGGUAGGGGUCAAUAAUUCAGUUAGGUGGGGCAAGGUACAGAACAGCAGACAGGCUCAGGGUCAGGGCUGGCAGAACUUUCAAAACCUGAAAGGACUACAAAACAGGAGCGAGAAACAGGCAGGAGCAGGGGAACAAACGCUGGUAGGUUUCACGAACAAAAUGAACUGGUAACAGAAAAAAGGAGAAUACAGGUAUAAAUACACAGGGUGUAAUGGGGAAGAUGGGCGACACCUGGAUGGGGGUGGAGCCAAGCACAAAGACAGGUGAAACGGAUCAGGGUCUGACACCAUCAGAAGUACAGUAUUGUUUGUCACUGUUUUGGUGUAUCUGUGUCAAACAAGCAAACCCAAUCCUCUAAGCUUCAAUACAUUUUGCUUGUUAUUUAUAUCUGCUUCUGCACUGUUUCCCCUAAUUGGUCUUAGAACCUGUGUCUAACGUUUAGAUGUUACAAUUUAAAAAAAUAAAAAUAAAUUAAAUUGCGAAGGUGUCUGGUCCGUUGUAUUGCUCAGAACUGUUGACCCAACUCAAUAGGUGGCCUGUCACGAUCCUGUGUGUCUUAUGUUCUGGUUGAGGUGUUACCCUCAAUAAACAGUAAUUGGCGUAGUCUGGUAGUUGCGCCAUUUUAGCUAACCCUAAUCAGCAGGUGUUACUACAAUAUACCAUGUCCUUAAAAACACUACAUUAAAUACUAUAGUAUACUACAGUAAUGCCCACAGAAACAAUUCAGUGAAUACUAUAGUAUACUACUGUAAAGUCUGCAAAAACACUACAGUUAAUACUAUAGUAUGCUACAGUCAUGUCUGCAAAAACACUUCAGUGAAUACUAUAGUACACUACAGUGAUAUCAGCAAAAACAUUAUAGCGAAUAAUAUAGUAUACUACAUUAAUAUCCGCAAAACACUACAGGGAAUACUAUAUCAUACUACAGUCAUGUCCACAAAAACACUACAGUAAGUACUACAGUGUAAUACAAUAAUGCCCGCGAAAACACGAGCGAAUACUAUAGUAAACUACAGUCAUGUCCGCCAAAACACUACAGUGAAUUUGUCAUUUUUAGCAGACCCUCUUAUCUAAAGCGAAUUAGGGUUAAGUGCCAUGCUCAAAGGUAGAUUGACAGAUUUUUUACCUAGUCAGUGAUUCGAACCAACAACAUUUCGGUUACUGGCCCAAUUGUCUUUACUCUAGGCUACCUAGUGUGAACACUACAGGAAAGUCAGCAAAAACACUACAGUGAAUAUUAUGGUAUAUUUAGUUAUGUCCGCAAAACACUACAGUGAAUACUGUAGUAAAGUCUGCAAAGAAUACUUCAGUGUAUAAAUAUAGUAAUACUGCACUAUUUAGACCAUAACAUACUAUAGUAUUUUUUUUUUAUG
ensembl:lncRNA